UACGUAUGGUGCAAGCGUUAUCCGGAUUUACUGGGUGUAAAGGGAGCGCAGGCGGCACGGCAAGCCUGAUGUGAAAGCCCGCGGCCCAACCGCGGGACUGCAUUGGGGACUACCGGGCUGGAGUGCCGGAGAGGUAGGCGGAAUUCCUAGUGUAGCGGUGAAAUGCGUAGAUAUUAGGAGGAACACCAGUGGCGAAGGCGGCCUACUGGACGGUGACUGACGUUGAGGCUCGAAAGCGUGGGGAGCGAACAGG
rnacentral:rRNA from 1 species